AGUAAGGUCAGCCCAGGUUCAUGUGGCCAUGGCAGAUCAUGUCCUCCUCUGUGCACAGCUCUGCAGCUACAGGUGGGAUUCACCUCCAGAGCAUGUUGAUCGCCAGCCUUGGCUCUCCAACAUCUACCCUGGACUGUCCCUCCUGACCCACCUCAAAAGUCUCUCUUGUCAUGGGGGUGUUAGAUGAAAUACAGAAUGGAGUGCAGACCCAUGGUGCUUUGGCAGAAAAUUGACAAGAAGAAAGUCGCAGGAGCUGCUGAGAGUUCUGUGUCAUCCUAUGGAAAAUCUAAGCUUCUUUGGAGCUGUCAAAAGGAGUGGCCCCCCACUCUCCCCAGCUGCUGGCUGCAGGUU